CCUACGGGAGGCUGCAGUGAGGAAUAUUGGUCAAUGGGCGAGAGCCUGAACCAGCCAAGUCGCGUGAAGGAUGACGGCCCUACGGGUUGUAAACUUCUUUUGUCAGGGAGCAAUUGGGUCCACGCGUGGGCUUAGCGAGAGUACCUGAAGAAAAAGCAUCGGCUAACUCCGUGCCAGCAGCCGCGGUAAUACGGAGGAUGCGAGCGUUAUCCGGAUUUAUUGGGUUUAAAGGGUGCGUAGGCGGAAUAUCAAGUCAGCGGUAAAAAUUCGGGGCUCAACCCCGUCGUGCCGUUGAAACUGAUGUUCUUGAGUGGGAGAGAAGUAUGCGGAAUGGGUGGUGUAGCGGUGAAAUGCAUAGAUAUCACGCAGAACUCCGAUUGCGAAGGCAGCAUACCGGCGCCCAACUGACGCUGAAGCACGAAAGCGUGGGGAUCGAACAGGAUUAGAUACCCCUGUAGUC
rnacentral:rRNA from 1 species